GGUUCUGUAGUGUAGCGGUUAUCACUCCGGAUUCUGAUUCCAAACAAGCAAUUUUCCGGCAACCCCGGUUCGAUUCCGGGCAGGACCU
rnacentral:tRNA from 1 species